rnacentral:rRNA from 1 species
GACGAACGCUGGCGGCGUGCUUAACACAUGCAAGUCGUACGGUAAGGCCCUUGCUGGGGUACACGAGUGGCGAACGGGGGAGUAACACGUGAGUAACCUGCCCACAACUUUGGGAUAACGCUAGUAAACUGGUGCUAGUACUGGAUAUGUGCUCCUGCUGCAUGGUGGGGGGUGGAAAGCCUCGUCGGUUGUGGCUGGACUCGCGGCCUAUCCGCUUGUUGGUGGGGUAGUGGCCUAACAAGGCGGCGGCGAGUAGCCGGCCUGGGUGGGUGACCGGCCACAUUGAGACUGAGAUACGGCCCCGGCUCCUACUGGUAGCAGCGGUAGGGAAUGUUACUCAUUGGGCGCAAGCCUGAUGCAGCAACGCCGCGUGCGGGAUGACGGCCUUCGUGUUGUAAACCGCUUUCAGCAGGGACGAAGCUUUUUGUGACGGUACCUGCAGAAGAAGCACCGGCUAACUACGUG